UGUUCAGUUCUUUUGGAGUUGAGGUUGU
rnacentral:piRNA from 1 species